CGGGUAUUGCCUUAGUACGGCGAGUGAAGCGGCAAAAGCUCAAAUUUGAAAUCUGGCACCUUCGGUGUCCGAGUUGUAAUUUGAAGAAGGUAACUUUGGAGUUGGCUCUUGUCUAUGUUCCUUGGAACAGGACGUCACAGAGGGUGAGAAUCCCGUGCGAUGAGAUGCCCAAUUCUAUGUAAAGUGCUUUCGAAGAGUCGAGUUGUUUGGGAAUGCAGCUCUAAGUGGGUGGUAAAUUCCAUCUAAAGCUAAAUAUUGGCGAGAGACCGAUAGCGAACAAGUACAGUGAUGGAAAGAUGAAAAGAACUUUGAAAAGAGAGUGAAAAAGUACGUGAAAUUGUUGAAAGGGAAGGGCUUGAGAUCAGACUUGGUAUUUUGCGAUCCUUUCCUUCUUGGUUGGGUUCCUCGCAGCUUACUGGGCCAGCAUCGGUUUGGAUGGUAGGAUAAUGACUAAGGAAUGUGGCUCUACUUCGGUGGAGUGUUAUAGCCUUGGUUGAUACUGCCUGUCUAGACCGAGGACUGCGUCUUUUGACUAGGAUGUUGGCAUAAUGAUCUUAAGCCACCCGUCUGAAAAUCGGGAAACA
rnacentral:rRNA from 1 species